rnacentral:snRNA from 1 species
GAUUUAUAGAUAAAUCCCAUAAAUUUGAACGAUACAACGAAGAUUAGCAUGCUCCUCUGCAAGGAUGACGCGCACAACUGAGAAAAAGAAAAGUUUUAU